CAAUAAUAAUAUAUGAAAAGUAGUGAUAAUUGGUCCCUAACAUGGCCUAAAUGCUUUAAUGUAUCAAGUGUGAAGGAGACUGGUGGAGAGUCUAUUAAAUAUACCUACGCGAGCGAUCCUGAGUCUGAUAUGGACAAGACACCCGAGCUUUUUUAACCUGGAAUCAAAGACUGUGGAUCUCUUGGCAGAGAUAAUUUGUUUCUUCGGCAUGAGUGGC
rnacentral:lncRNA from 1 species